rnacentral:rRNA from 1 species
AACCAGCACCUCAGGUGUCCCGGAUGAUUAUUGGACCUAAACAUCCGUAGCCGCCUCUGCAAGAUUUCGAUUAAAUCUGCACGCUUAACAGUACGGGCUGCCGUUAAUACUGCAGAUCUAGCUAACGGGAGAGGUAGACGUUACUCGGUACGAAGGGGUAAGAUCCUUUGAUCUAUUGAUGACCACCUGAGGAGAAGGCGGCCUACCAAACUUCGUACGACGGGGACGCAUGAAAGCUGGGGGAGCAAACCGGAUUAGAUCACCGGAUAGUUCCAGCUGUAAACUAUGCAAACUCAGUGAUGCAUUGGCUUGUGCACAAUGCAGUGACGCAGGGAAGCCGCUAACUUUCCCGCCUGGGAAGUACGUACGCAAGUAUGCAAAUUUAAAGGAAUUGGCGGGGGAGCUCCACAAGGGGUGAAGCUUUCGGUUCAAUUGGAAUCAACGCCAGAAAUUUUACCCGGAGAGACAGCAGAAUGAAGGUCAAGCUGAAGACUAUCCCAGACAAGUUGAGAGCAUGGUGCAUGGCCGUAUCCAGCUCGUGCCGUGAGAUGUCCUGGUAAGUCAGGUACACGAUCGAGAUCUCUGCCUCUAGUUGGCAUCACUGCUGUCAGGAGUAGUGGGGCGAAUUAGCGGGUCGCCUCUAAUUAAUCGGAGGAAGGAAGGGAAUCACGGCAGGUCAGUAUGCUCCGAAACUAUGGGUCCGCACGUCGGGUUGCAAUGGUAACGACAAUGGGUUUCGAAUUGAGAAAGGAAGAGGUAAUCCUCAAACGCUAUCACAGUUAGGACUGAGGGAUGCAACUUGUCCUCACGAAUAUGGAAUCCAUAGUAACUGCGUGUCACUAUCGCGCGGAGAAUUAGUCCCUUCUCCU